rnacentral:rRNA from 1 species
CAGUAGCCGCGGUAAUACGUAGGGUGCAAGCGUUAAUCGGAAUUACUGGGCGUAAAGCGUGCGCAGGCGGUUUUGUAAGACAGAGGUGAAAUCCACGGGCUCAACCUGGGAACUGCCUUUGUGACUGCAAGGCUAGAGUACGGCAGAGGGGGAUGGAAUUCCGCGUGUAGCAGUGAAAUGCGUAGAUAUGCGGAGGAACACCGAUGGCGAAGGCAAUCCCCUGGGCCUGUACUGACGCUCAUGCACGAAAGCGUGGGGAGCAAACAGGAUUAGAUACCCCAGUAGUCCCUGUCUCUUAUAC